CCUGCAUCUUUCCGGUUCUAAAUGCCCGCAGCAGCCUCGUCAAGCCUUCCUCCACUCCGUCCAGUAAUAUUUUUCCGGGGUCUGCGUCGCGGCAUUUUCCCGUUCCAUGGCUGCCCUUACCGGUUCGAUUUCAUUUCGCCGCGUGAUGUGUCCAAGCCAAGAUACUAUGAUAUCCUCUGGCUUUCGACGCAAUUAGUAAUCGUUCCCGUUUCCAACGUGUCCUGUAACACUCUGUUGCGCACCUUCUACGUCAUAAUGGUUCGAACGUACGGACGGAAAUCGAUAAGCGGUGUGCGGCUUAUCGCUCCUGUACUUCACGAACAGUCCGCGAUUGUAGAACGUGAACAAGACAAUAUUAAAC